UGAAUUCCAUGACAGCGAGUUCAAAGGGAAUAAUUUAAAAUCAGGACAGGAGAAAGCUAUUGAAGACAAAGCACAAAGGAAGCAGGUGGCCAUGACUUCUGCUACUGUCAAACAAGGAUAGGAGAAAAGCUCAUAUGUGACAACAACAACAACAACAACAACAACAACAAGACUUGUCAAUAGAAGCCCUGAAGAUGUGUGUUCAGAAGCACCAGUGGGAGCAGCAAGGCUUCUCACCACCUUUCAAAGUGAAGGCUGAGUGUUCCUGCUGAGCUGCCCCAGAGACAAACACCACCCCCCGCCCCUCACUGGAAGCCUAUCAAGGAAAAAUUAUGGACCCAGUGACUGGAGUGGGACCCUGAGAAGAGUUUGGGGCAGUAAAUCAGUCUUAUGAACAAAUCUCUUCUUAAGACAUAUGCCUGGAAUUCUCAAGAUGUGCUUGGAAUUCUUGUGGUUUUGCCUCUGGAAGAAGAAGUUCCUUCCAGAGCCAGGAAGCUGACUCCCACUACCCUGGGGCUCAGGAGUAC